rnacentral:rRNA from 1 species
AUGCCUACGGGAGGCAGCAGUGGGGAAUUUUGCGCAAUGGGGGAAACCCUGACGCAGCAACGCCGCGUGCGGGACGAAGGCCUUCGGGUUGUAAACCGCUUUCAGCAGGGACGAAUUCAGACGGUACCUGCAGAAGAAGCCCCGGCUAACUACGUGCCAGCAGCCGCGGUAAUACGUAGGGGGCAAGCGUUAUCCGGAAUUACUGGGUGUAAAGGGAGCGUAGACGGUUAAGUAAGUCUGGAGUGAAAGGCCGGGGCCCAACCCCGGGACUGCUCUGGAAACUAUUGAACUUGAGUGCAGGAGAG